UUAAGGGCGAGGCGCCACCGAAGAGCAGCCUGCCCGCGUGGGGGAAACUCACUGGGAUCCGGAGUUUGCCCGGGACAACAAAACUCGCAGCAGCCGGACAUUGAUUUACCCUCCUCCGUCUUGCCUGUCCCGGUUCAGAGGGAAUCCCAGCGCGGCUGGCAGGAGCCCGGGCACCGCAAUAAGAAAAGCUCCGGCUGCAGCCCCCCUCCCAGGCUGAUCUGUUAUUCUUCAGAUUAAUAUUGAUCAGCCUUUUACCAGUGGGGUUUAGCUGUAAUGGUGAUAAAUACCUCGUGUUGCAGCGGGCUAUAGCUCGCUGCUUGGAAGGGAGCCCCGGCUGUUCCGCAGCUCCGGCUUACAAUCUGAUUCAGAGCACUAACCUAGCUAGUGAAGACAUCAGAUCAUGAAGGAAGUGGAGGGUAUUGCAUUUGAGAAAUAAUUGAUGUUGAGAUCCUGAGGUGCAACUUUUCUGUCUAUCAGCCUAGUGCAUUGCUCACAGCUUUGCUGCUGGGCAUGAACAGUUUGCCAUCUUCAACAUUACACAUACAUUUUCUGCAGUUCUUUUAACUUAGAAAAUAAAACAUUUUGAUGCUGGUUUGGAUCUAGAUUUAAAGUUCGGAACAUGGUGUAUGUAUGAGAAGAGGUUUUGUUGCAUUGUUCUUCAUGAUUCCAAGGAGCAAGGCCAGAUCCUCAAAGGUAGGUUCUGAACUAACUGUUAGGUGUUAUAUACCUUUUAGGAUCUGGGCCAGUUCUCCCCAACAGGAGCUACUUCUGAAUGUUUAUGGUACAAUCUCAUCUAAAAAUAUAUGGGCUUUGUCUACA